rnacentral:rRNA from 1 species
AUACGAAGGGGGCAAGCGUUGUUCGGAAUAACUGGGCGUAAAGCGCACGUAGGCGGAAUGUUAAGUUAGAGGUGAAAUCCCAGGGCUCAACCCUGGAACUGCCUUUAAUACUGGCAAUCUAGAGACCGAGAGAGGUGAGUGGAAUUCCGAGUGUAGAGGUGAAAUUCGUAGAUAUUCGGAGGAACACCAGUGGCGAAGGCGGCUCACUGGCUCGGUACUGACGCUGAGGUGCGAAAGCGUGGGGAGCAGACAGGAUUAGAAACCCUAGUAGUCC